GUAAGAAUUGUUAAAGGAAAUUCAUCAUGUCGAAGGAGAAUGAUAACAAAAGGCAGCUGGGUCUUGAUGAUUGAAGGAAGAAAACCAGAAAGGAACAGAAACAAAUAACUGGAAGCGGGUCACUAAGUCCAUACCCAAGGAGAUGGAAGUGAAGCUCCACCUUCUGGAGGAAAGAGCAGCGAAGGAUUUUUGGAGAUGUGGCAAAACCACCAGGGGACAGGGCUCAGGAACCCACCUGGCUGUAAGAAUUCAGUCCCUCUUGUCUCCUGGCCCUUCCUGCCGGCCCUGGGAUGGACAGGAGUGGAGGAGAUGGCCUCCAGCUUCUUUGAGGGCCUUCCCUCUGAGUUGUGACAGCAGCCUGCUUCCCGGUCUGCUCGGGAGCUGUGGGUAACCUCCUCGUUAAGGCUGCAGCCUGACACAGCCCAGCUUGCCGGUCCACUGAGUGUCGUCUAAUCUCGAUCAACCUCCCCUGCCCCACCAUCUCCCCAGAUCUGGGGACAAUCUGUAACUGGGACUCCUUUUAGCUCUGCUGAUAUACAGAUAGCAGCAAUGCACCAAUAUGGGAGCUGGUGUCCUAGCAUCAGGACCCUUGAGGUUUUGCCCCUUCUAUUUUUAACUUCACAGCCUGGUUUUAAAGACGGUUGCCUGAAUUAGAGAGCUGUUUGUUCCUGCAGAGCUGGGGUUUGGAUCAGCUGCAGGGUGCCUCAUGGGCUGGUUGGGACUUCCUUUCUCUUUUACUCAGUCAUCUCUGUCACUGUCCAGCCAUUGAGAGACAGGCUGGCUUGGUGGGGUUCAAAGAGCAUUAUCCCAAAAUAUCUCCCAGGAUUGAUCAAGCCUGGAUCCUGAUGUCCUGGCUUGAAUCACUUGUUGCUUUAGGUACACAGCCAGUUCUCACCACGUGUAUGUGUGUUUGUACAUGUGUGCACACGAGCACAUGGGCGUUAAAUGAACUGUCUCUUUCGCAUCUUCAGCCUGUCUUUGAUUUAUUUGAUUUCAUGGAUC